rnacentral:snoRNA from 1 species
UAACACAUUCUACAGUAGGAUCAUUUCUAUAGGAAUCGUCACUCUUUGACUCUUCAAAAGAGCCACUGAAUCCAACUUGGUUGAUGAGUCCCAUAACCUUUGUACCCUAGAGUGAGAAACUAAAAUUAAUCCUAAAUUAGCUUGGUCCGCAAUCCUUAGCGGUUCGGCCAUCUAUAAUUUUGAAUAAAAAUUUUGCUCUGCCGUUGCAUUUGUAACUUCUUCCUUUGGAAGUUACAAUUUUAAAUGGCGCGAUGAUCUUGACCCAUCCUAUGUACUUCCUUUUUGGAAGGUAUAGGGCUUCAUGGGUGGGUACAAAUGGCAGUCUGACAAGU